CAGGGAGACAACAAAAUGUAAAUAUUAAUUUUGUCACCUUAGGUCGAUCGGUAUCUCAUAUUCUUAUUAUUUAAGAAUUUCAGUUUCUAAGUUUUUUCUAGGUCACACCCAUCACUUUUUCCUGGGCCAUUAGCUCAGGUGGUUAGAGCGCACCCCUGAUAAGGGUGAGGUCCCUGGUUCAAGUCCAGGAUGGCCCAUAUCUCUAUGUUGGGGGUAUAGCUCAGUUGGUAGAGCGCCUGCUUUGCAAGCAGGAUGUCAGCGGUUCGAGUCCGCUUACCUCCACUGAAUACCACCUCUUACAUAUAGCUGAAGUGGGAAAUUGUUUUGAGUCGUGUCCUAAUUUGCUCUGAGCAAAUCUAGCUUCCUAUUUUAUCCAAGAAAUAAGAUGCUGGACUCAUUGAAUUUUUUUUUCAUUGUUUUCAGAGAACCUUGACAACUGCAUAGAUUAUUUUUAAAGACAAUAAGCAUCUUUAAUGAUGCAGAUUUAUUAUUUGUGCGAAUGCAUUAAAUAACAAUUCUAUUAAGCUGAUGCUUCAAUUAUUGAAGUUAUU
rnacentral:tRNA from 1 species